rnacentral:lncRNA from 1 species
UUUCAACUUCCGCAGCUCCCAAACGAUUAGCAGCUUCUCCGACGACCGGCGACUCAGAAAUCAACCAUGGGUAAGGUUCACGGAUCACUUGCUCGUGCCGGUAAGGUUAGGGGGCAAACACCAAAGGUUGCAAAACAGGAUAAGAAGAAGAAGCCAAGAGGACGUGCACACAAGCGUAUGCAAUACAAUCGCAGAUUUGUCACUGCUGGUAACAUUGCUUUCCUUUUGUUGUUUCACUUUAUGGAGGCAGUAUGUUUACUGCCGUAUAUGCUUGAAUUAUAUAUGGAAGUAUAACAUGGAAGUAUAACCUAAUUGAAUUUAUGCCUAUAUGCAAGCAAAAGCAAUAAAGUUUAUGCCUUUAACCAAGUUUGUAUCUUUUGUCCGAAGAUAGUUGUAGUUUUGUUGAUGCUCAUUGAUAUACAGUACCUUCUAGUUUAAAAUUAUUGUUUCUAUGGUCUUCAUCUUAUACAUGAAAUUGGCAAAUUUAUAUUAGUUGACAUUAGCACUCCUUUUCAGGAUUAGGGGAAGUUUAAACAAGAUUUGAUCUGUGAACAAAGUAGUCAUUGACAAUUAUACAUAGAUUGUAUGUGUGUGUGUACAAAUCACUUGUGUAUGAUCCAUAUUCUAGAGUAUGCAAGAUUGUGCAUUGCUGUAAAAGUAGCUUUGCUGGUGCAUGCUCCCUAGAAAUCUUUGAAUUUGAAUCUUUGCAAUAAAGAAAUCUACUUCUACUUUUGGGACAGUCGAAUCUUAAUUAUACAUAAUAUCUAUGUGGUUUAGUUUUGGUUUUAUCUGUUUCCUCAAGUAUAUGAUCUUAACACAGUGAUGGUACUAUUUCGUUUCUUCUUUUAAAGAAGCAAGUAAUGUAACUGUUAACACCUGUAGACAUACACAAUGAUGUUCAGAGAUCAAAUGUGUGUACAAAUUGCUUAUGUUCCUCCUUAGAUGUGCAUAUACUCGAGUAUACUAAUUAUGCUUGUAUUAUGCUGGUUACGGAAGUUCCAGGGAAAUUUUACCUCAUAGGAUAUCUCCCAAAUCUGCCUUAUUUUUUCUUGCAUCUGCUACUAAGUAGAGUUCUGAUUGCAGAUCUUUAGUAAAGUAUCUGAGCUGUUUAAUUUAAGGUUUCCUAUUUCUCUUCUCAUAAUUGUAUGUUCCUAGCAUUGAAUCUGUUGUACUUCAAUGAACAAGGGGCUGUGAUGUUUCUUUUGUGUUAACCUUUUAUCUGUAUUUGGUCAAUACUUGUAUUGUAUGUGCGCUUUAUUUUGGUUACGUCUGCUUGCAGUUGUUGGCUUUGGAAAGAAGAGAGGACCAAACUCUUCCGAGAAGUAGAUGACGACGACUUUAGUUAUUUUAGGUUGAGGAGUUACUGCUUCAAAAGUUUUCAUCUUUGUGAUGUUUAUAAAUUUUGAUUCUCAAACCUCAUAAUGAGAAAAGACUGGUGUUUGUAGGAUGGAUGAUUACAUUCUGUUUUGCAAGAAUUAAUUGAAUUUUAUCCUUUGGUCUUUCUACUGAUUUUUAUUCAUCGCUUGAAUGUUUUAUGCUAUUCAUGUUUAAUGAUUCUUGGAGUCACCCUUGUUGCUAUUGCUAUGCUAUUAGAUCAGAUAAUACAUGAUAGAAUAUGUUUUUACAAUAGUGCUAUGCUGAAAACUCAACUUCUAUUUAGGAAUUUUAGAAAUUAUGAUGUUGGAACUGUAAUAUGAACAUGCUUUUACAAUCUAUAUAUGUAGUGCUAUGCUGGAAAACUCAACUUCUUAUUUAGGAAAUUUAUAAACUUUGAUGAUGGAACUAUUAUGUGAACAUGAAACUAGCUUUUGACCAUAGAUUUUCGAUUAUUAUUAGCAAAUAUUAUUUUAGUGAAAAUUUGGGUGAAAUUUCACUAUGUAUUUGGCCAUAGGAUUUGGGAAAUAUAUUUCACCUUUUUAGAAAAAUAUGAUUUAUACACACUAAAAGUUUGUAUUACAAGUCAAUUGGAUGUUCGUUACAACAAUAACAAAUAGUGUCCAUGACACUAAAACAAUGUGGUAAUUUGGAGUGAGUGCAAUAAGAAUUAUUUCAUACAUCGUGAAGUAGACAAAGCACACGACUUUAAUACCUAGAGCCAAUUUUUAAUAAUUUUCAUCAACAAUCAUAUCAUUAUUCAAUAUUCACUAAAUAUUUCAUCACUAUUUUGAUAUUCACGUAAAAAAUUAUGUAAUACAACGCAAGCAACUACUAGAAAGGGUGUUUUUGUAAAAGAUAAAAGAUUGGGGUAAAAUUUUAAUUUUCAAAAUAUUUCAAAUAAUGAAAUUUGGCCCAAAUAAUGAGAUUUGACCUAAAUACUAGAAAAAACUAGUAUUUAGAAAUUUAGGAUAUUUGAUAAAAAUAUUUGCCAAAUAAUGACAAAUUAUAU